rfam:Alligator mississippiensis ScZkoYb_691, whole genome shotgun sequence.
CUGCAGCCAAUUAAGCCGACCGGCCCCUCUCCCCUGUGGGGGCCCGGUGUGCACUGGUUGCAGACAGCAAAGCUCCCCGUGGUGGUGUAUGUGUCCUGCCUCCCUACAGCAGGGUGCUUGAAGGGACUGCGGAGACAUGG